UGCGUGUAUUUGUUAUGUCAAGGUAUUUAUGAUUUCUGUGAGAGGAAAGUGAAUUGAAUUCCUUUAAACAGUUUGAGUGGUUCACGCAAGCAACACGGUUGUAAUUCGUUAAUCAGAAGAUCCGUUGACUUGGAAUAAUUCCCGUUACUGUAUCCAAACAAGCAGAAAACAAUGAACGACACAAAGUCAGAAACCAAUCGUCGCAAAGAUGGAGGUGAUGAGAAACCACCACGUAGCAAGAAGGAAUAUCCGUCUCAUUCCAUGAGCCGUCGAAGCCAAUCUGAACCGUCCGGUACACGGAACUCCGAAGUGGCUCCCAAGAAAAGUGCUUCAAUGAAAUCCAAGUAAAGGAAUGCACAUCAUAACAUCGAAUGUUAUUCAUCGUCAUGAUGAAAUCUUUGCAAUUUUUCUGAACAAAAUAAAAUUCAUUUGAUUUUGCAACAACAAA